rnacentral:rRNA from 1 species
GACGAACGCUGGCGGCGUGCCUAAUACAUGCAAGUCGAGCGAGCGGAACUAACAGAUUUACUUCGGUAAUGACGUUAGGAAAGCGAGCGGCGGAUGGGUGAGUAACACGUGGGGAACCUGCCCCAUAGUCUGGGAUACCACUUGGAAACAGGUGCUAAUACCGGAUAAGAAAGCAGAUCGCAUGAUCAGCUUUUAAAAGGCGGCGUAAGCUGUCGCUAUGGGAUGGCCCCGCGGUGCAUUAGCUAGUUGGUAAGGUAAAGGCUUACCAAGGCGAUGAUGCAUAGCCGAGUUGAGAGACUGAUCGGCCACAUUGGGACUGAGACACGGCCCAAACUCCUACGGGAGGCAGCAGUAGGGAAUCUUCCACAAUGGACGCAAGUCUGAUGGAGCAACGCCGCGUGAGUGAAGAAGGUUUUCGGAUCGUAAAGCUCUGUUGUUGGUGAAGAAGGAUAGAGGUAGUAACUGGCCUUUAUUUGACGGUAAUCAACCAGAAAGUCACGGCUAACUACGU